rnacentral:lncRNA from 13 species
AUGGGUGCACCUCCCGCGCCCGUGGGUCGCCAGCCCCGAGCAGGUGACUGCGGGUGGGCUGGGAUGGAGGGGGCAGCGCGAGGUUCCCGCAUGCGGGGAAAGCCAUCUCCCCACGGCAUCCCUGCCGGCCCCGAGGGCUGCGGAGGAACUGGGGGGGCACCUACCUGGACGAGCGAGCCUGGACGGCUGCAGGGCUGCCGUGCCCGGGCCGGGGGUGGCGGGGGACACCCCACGGCGCCGUGCCGGGCCCCACGCACCUACCGCGGGCGGGCUCCGCCGCGCCCUCCCCCUUCCCCGCGGCUGCCGGCAACCGCGGUGCCGUCUCUCCGCGCAGCAACAAGCGUUGCGGAGAGGGUAGACGAGGAGAGUGAGGGCAGCGUGCUGACCCUCCCCCUCCCUAGGUGCAUUGCCUCCUCCAGCCUCAGGGCUGCCGGGUGCCGGAUCCCCGCCGAGCAUCCCGCAGCACGCCCAGGCGGCGGAAGGCGGAGCGCCCCCCGCCCCGCACACACCUUGCACGACCCGAGCCGCCGCCGCCGCCGCCGCUGGUGCAAGGUCGCUCUUUCUCCAGCCCCGGCCCGCCGUCCGCAGCCCCCCCGGCCCCGCCGGGACGUGCCUCCGCAACGGCCCCGGCCCUGCCCCUGCCGCAAGCCCCGGCCUGCUCGGCGCGGCGGGCGCUGCUGCGCGGCGCGGGCGGCCCACGCACGGCCCCGAGCAUGCGGGCACAGCGGGCACCCGCGCGCCGCCGCGCGCAUCCGUGUGCGGCACCCGCGCGGGCACGGGAGAGCACGUGCACACACGUGUGCACUGCCCGCCCACGCGGGCACGGCGGGCACACCCGGCGUGGGUGUGCUCACGCACCACCACCGAGCACAUACGUGUACGCACUCCCGCACUCACCCAGGCACGCACAGCCCCGGCGUGGGCACGCACACACACACCGCCGCCAUGCACAUACGUGUGCACACGCUCACAAAUGCACGGGCAGGCACGGCUCAGGCAUGGGAGUUCACGUGCACUGCCACCGUGCACAAACGGAUGCUCCACUCACAUCGGCCCAUGCAUGGGCAUGGGAGAGCACAUGCACCACUGCAGUGCACCUGUGUGUGCACCACCCACGUGGGCAGGGCCAGCACAUGCACAGGCAUCACAGCCACACACGUGUGUACACCAUCCACACAGGCAUAUGCACAAGUGGGCACAUGCACGGUUUCCGUGUUGAUAUGUGUUGUCACAGACCACAUGCACAAGCCUGCACACCCCACGCAUGGGAAAGCACAUGCACCAUGUGCAUCCACAUAG